rnacentral:tRNA from 1 species
UCCCAUGUGGCUCAGUUGGUAGAGCAUCGUGCUUGCAAAACCAGCGUUGUGGGAUCGAUUCCCAUUGGGGA